GCGCCCGUAGCUCAGCAGGAUAGAGCGGCCGCCUCCUAAGCGGCAGGUCGGAUGUUCGAAUCAUCUCGGGCGUGCCA
rnacentral:tRNA from 1 species